rnacentral:tRNA from 1 species
GGGGCCUUAGCUCAGCUGGUUUAGAGCAUUACCUUGACAGGGUAGGGGUCGUGAGUUCGAAUCUCACAGGUCCCA